CAAAUUAGAGUAAAUAAAUAUUGAGCUUGAACACUUUCUUAAUUGAUGGCUGCUUUUAGGCCAACUAUGGUGAUGAAAUGUUUUACUCUCUAUAGUAAGGUUUUU